rnacentral:rRNA from 1 species
GUAGGUGGCAAGCGUUGUCCGGAAUUAUUGGGCGUAAAGCGCGCGCAGGCGGGUUCUUUAAGUCUGAUGUGAAAGCCCACGGGCUCAACCGUGGAGGGUCAUUGGAAACUGGAGAACUUGAGUACAGAAGAGGAAAGCGGAAUUCCACGUGUAGCGGUGAAAUGCGUAGAGAUGUGGAGGAACACCAGUGGCGAAGGCGGCUUUCUGGUCUGUAACUGACGCUGAGGCGCGAAAGCGUGGGGGGCAAACAGGAUUAGAUACCCUGGUAGUCCACGCCGUAAACGAUGAGUGCUAAGUGUUAGGGGGUUUCCGCCCCUUAGUGCUGCAGCUAACGCAUUAAGCACUCCGCCUGGGGAGUACGGCCGCAAGGCUG